rnacentral:rRNA from 1 species
AGAGUUUGAUCAUGGCUCAGAGCGAACGCUGGCGGCAGGCCUAACACAUGCAAGUCGAACGAACUCUUCGGAGUUAGUGGCGGACGGGUGAGUAACACGUGGGAACGUGCCUUUAGGUUCGGAAUAACUCAGGGAAACUUGAGCUAAUACCGGAUGUGCCCUUCGGGGGAAAGAUUUAUCGCCUUUAGAGCGGCCCGCGUCUGAUUAGCUAGUUGGUGAGGUAAAGGCUCACCAAGGCGACGAUCAGUAGCUGGUCUGAGAGGAUGAUCAGCCACAUUGGGACUGAGACACGGCCCAAACUCCUACGGGAGGCAGCAGUGGGGAAUCUUGCGCAAUGGGCGAAAGCCUGACGCAGCCAUGCCGCGUGAAUGAUGAAGGUCUUAGGAUUGUAAAAUUCUUUCACCGGGGACGAUAAUGACGGUACCCGGAGAAGAAGCCCCGGCUAACUUCGUGCCAGCAGCCGCGGUAAUUC